rnacentral:rRNA from 1 species
CCUACGGGGGGCAGCAGUGGGGAAUAGUGGACAAUGGGGGGAACCCUGAUCCAGCCAUGCCGCGUGUGUGAAGAAGGCCCUCGGGUUGUAAAGCACUUUCAGUGAGGAAGAACGCCUGGUGGUUAAUACCCAUCAGGAAAGACAUCACUCACAGAAGAAGCACCGGCUAACUCCGUGCCAGCAGCCGCGGUAAUACGGAGGGUGCGAGCGUUAAUCGGAAUUACUGGGCGUAAAGCGCGCGUAGGUGGCUUGAUAAGCCGGUUGUGAAAGCCCCGGGCUCAACCUGGGAACGGCAUCCGGAACUGUCAAGCUAGAGUGCAGGAGAGGAAGGUAGAAUUCCCGGUGUAGCGGUGAAAUGCGUAGAGAUCGGGAGGAAUACCAGUGGCGAAGGCGGCCUUCUGGACUGACACUGACACUGAGGUGCGAAAGCGUGGGUAGCAAACAGGAUUAGAUACCCUAGUAGUC